UACAGAGGUCCCAAGCGUUGUCCGGAUUUAUUGGGCGUAAAGAGCUCGUAGGCGGUUUGUCGCGUCGUCCGUGAAAACUCACAGCUUAACUGUGAGCUUGCGGUCGAUACGGGCAGGCUAGAGUUCGGUAGGGGAGACUGGAAUUCCUGGUGUAGCGGUGAAAUGCGCAGAUAUCAGGAGGAACACCGGUGGCGAAGGCGGGUCUCUGGGCCGAUACUGACGCUGAGGAGCGAAAGCGUGGGGAGCGAACAGG
rnacentral:rRNA from 1 species